rnacentral:tRNA from 1 species
GCCCCUGUAGCUCAGUUGGUAGAGCACGUCCUUGGUAAGGACGAGGUCAACGGUUCAAAACCGUUCGGGGGCU